AAAUAAUUCAAAACUAGACAAACAGAAAUCAGCUUUUCUCUUAUAAUUCAUAAAGCAUGUCAACUGUUACACUUUUCAAGGGUCACAGUCAUGAACAUCGGUUAACACUCUAUUAAAAUAUCUUAAUCUCUUUCUUACUGUCUUCUUUUCCUAAGAGAACAAGCCCAUUCAUGAUGUCUCCAGCACUUGAUAUAUGAUUUUUCAUUAAUUUUCCCACACUUCAUUUAAGGCAAACUUUUAAAAUGUAUUUUACAAAUGUAUAACAGAUUCACAAGAAAACGUAUGACUGCAAAAUUUCAUGUCCACACCUUAGAGCUGGGACAUAAGCGCAGUGCGCGCUCUGCAGAAAUUCUGCCCGCCUCUCCAGGCCCUCCUUCCAGCUCCCGGCAGAGCGGGCUGGAAGUAACGGGGAAGAGCGGUUAUUUGUUGGUUUAAUAUAAUUUGUUUAGUCACCCAAGGAUGACUAAUUUGCAUUUUCUCUCUCUUUUUAUAUUGAUCCGUAGCACACUCUGUUUUCCACCUAAUGGAUAUUUGGGCACUAACUUGUUAGUGUCACUUUCCUGUCCUUUCAUGCAGGGUUUUCACGCUGUGGGUUCCCUGGCAGCCACCUCCCAUCACUAUGGUGUCCUCGCUUCAGUUUUGACACGACAUCAUUAGCAGCUGCAGACAGUCCUUGUUCCGGCUGAAUAAGAGAGCACAGACGGACUUGGCACUGGGCGCACACCAGGAGGGUCCGAGGCGGGGCCGCGGGGACCUGCUCUUGGGAGCGCGGACAGAGCCCCACUGUCCCUCUCCCCAGGGCCGUGCUCGUCAAAGACGGACAGGCAGUGGCUACACAUGAAGCCACGAAUGCCUUGAACUCGGCUCUGGACCUGAUUUCUUAUUUAACUGAAGGACAAAGAAGAAAAGAACAAAAACACCCAUCAGCACGCCGUGGCGUCCCCUCGGACUCGCAAUCACUGCAGCGGGAUUUCCAAGCUCCCCUUCCCAGGGCACAGGCGGGAGGACCUCCGCGAUGGUGGGGGCGGAGGAGGCUCCACCCUGACAGCUUCCUAUAACCCCACUGACCCGUGCCACAUGGGUCACAGCAUUGCAGAAUUACAGCUUUGAGAAUAAUUUAGGAACAGAAAAUUUGUGAUUAUAAUAUGCUGAGUUUUAAAGCUAAGAUAUAAAAUCAUAUUCACACUGAAUACCACUAACAAAAUAUUCAUAUGCAAAUCAGGUUAAAAUAUACGCCAACAGGAUUCAUAGAAGUUGUAUGUUAGGUAGUAGAAAGUGAUAGAAAGAUUGUUUUGUAGCUAUAUCACACUUAGGCUGAAUGCAAUUUAAAAAUAGGCAUUAUUAUUACAUGUUAUCAAAUUGCAGUGGGGGCUCUAUAACAAAAAGGAUCACUUUUUUAAGGAAACAUAAAGGAGAUGAUAAGAAAAAACCCCACCCUAUUGUAUUAUCAAUUGUAAAGUCAUAUUUGCAAUGUACCUUUCCUUUUCUUUUAAUAAAAUAAGCAUAAACUGUUUUCUUUAAAGACUAUCCUACAAGAUGUGAGGCAAGGGAGUGAACGUCCUUGCUAGGCCCGGCUCCUCCUCAUUGCCCCUCCUCUGCCUCAGCCCAGGACACAAUGUAUUAUACGUGAACCAUCACUGCACAUGCUAGAUACACAAUAAAAGUUAGUGCCAUUCUUUCUCCUCUCUUCUUAUAUGGAUCCUUUCCAUUCAUUUAUUGCAUCUUAUAAAAGUAAUACAUCUUAAUAAUAGUAAAUUAUUUAUAGAGAAUAAGAUAGAACAUACCAUAUACGAUUACAUAGAAAAGGAAAUAACAAUACACAUUUCCAUAGCAUUCAACAUAUACUCAGUAUUGUUCAAUGCCCUUUGUACACAUUAUCUCCUUUAAUCCUCAAGCGGUCCUAUGAAGAUGGAUUACCCUCAUUUUACAGUUAAAGAAACUGAGGACAAAUAAGUUAAAUAACUUGCCCAAUUUAGAUUUUCACAAAACUACCUUAAAAUUUUGAUUUGUCUAAGGCUAAUUUUACAAGGUAAUUCCAAAUUAAUUGGCAUGUUUAGUAUAAUAAAUCUUUCUUUCCAUGAACACUGUUUUCUAUUUUUAUUUUAUUUUGUUAAUUUAUUUUUGAGACAGUGUCUCACCCUGUCCCCUAGCCUGGAGUGCAGAGGCAUGAACAUGGCUCAUUGCAGCAGUAAGCUCCUGGGCUCAAGCAAUGUCCCUACCUCAAUCUCCCAACGUGCUGGGAUUACAGGUGUAAGCCACCACACCAAGCCGCUAUUUAUUUAUUUUUAAUUUUUUCUUUCAUAAAUUGUGUAGUUUCCACAUAGAGGUCUUGUAAAAUUUCUACUGUGUUCAUUUCUAGAAAUGUUAUAGUUUGAGUUGUUAUUGUAAAUUGAAUUGUUUUGUAUUACAUUUUUAUAAUUGGAUAUUGUCACUAUGCAGGGGAAUAAUAUUUAUUUGUUGUUCUUAUUUUAAUCUCUAUUUUGUUGCUAUACUCAGAGUUUCUAAUAUAAACACAGCAUCUGCCAAAAAUGUUAACUAGUUCCUUUCUUUCUUUUUUAACUUCAUAUCUAAUCCCUAAUUGGAUAGAUUUUUGUUACUAUUCUUUGUUAAUGUAUCUAUUUAUAUUU
rnacentral:lncRNA from 1 species